UAGAAUCCACAGGUUACUUAAUUCUGAAAAUUAUAGACUGAAAAAUGUAUUUAGGAGCAUAUCCUAUACAGAUAAAUUUUUUAACUCAGCUAAAGCUUAAAGUGAAGUUGCUUUUUAGAUAACUGCUGGAAACCCUGUUGUAAGUAUGGCCAAGUUGUUAUUGAAGACACCGGAAAUUAUUACCGGUAACAGCAGGAUUCUUUCGCUACUUCAAAAAAAGUCGAUUAAAUUACUACCUAGAUAUAAUUUUUUGACCUAUUUAACUCUUCAUACCAAAGUUAAUAAACUUAUUAUUGCUU